rnacentral:rRNA from 1 species
UACGUAGGGGGCAAGCGUUGUCCGGAAUUAUUGGGCGUAAAGAGCGUGUAGGCGGUCCGGUAAGUCGGCUGUGAAAGUCCAGGGCUCAACCCUGGGAUGCCGGUCGAUACUGCCGGACUAGAGUUCGGAAGAGGCGAGUGGAAUUCCCGGUGUAGCGGUGAAAUGCGCAGAUAUCGGGAGGAACACCUAUGGCGAAGGCAGCUCGCUGGGACGUUACUGACGCUGGAGACGCGAAGGCGUGGGGAGCAAACAGG